rnacentral:lncRNA from 1 species
UCACUGUCAUAUUAUAUAACGAAGUUGAAAUACAUGGGAAUACAGUAUGCCAACCCAUUACCACUACUAACAUGUUACAAAAAUCGAUAAAUGUUGUACAAUAUAAAAGUGCAACACGCAACAUGAAAAUGCUAUGUAUACAUGGAUACACCUUAGAGUACGACAUAUAGGCUUAUAAGGAUACAUUAUAAAGAGUGAUGUUAUAUAGCAUUAUUAAUGUUAAAACACCAUUUUAUGUGACGGCACAUGACAAAUUCAAUUAAAUGAGUAACAAUAAUAUUACAUUUAAUUGAACUUAUCAUUUAAUGCCAUUUAUAUGUCAGAUAAGGUGGUGUUCUAGCACAAUAAUGCUAGAUAGCAUUAUUCACACUAUAAAAUUAAUUGGUAAGAAUGUACAACACAUGAUUAAUGCACACAAUAUUGUAGAAACUGUCAAAUGCCUAUCUAUUACCUGAUUAGCCAUUAGUGAUGCAAUCUAAUUAUCUAGACUUUAUGACAAACAGUAUUGGGAGGAACAACUGGAAUAGAGAAAUAUGGAUCCGCCAACACAAAUUCAUGUCCAAUUCUAUAUUCUUCACCGCAGAUAAUGCAUCCAUAGAGCAUUUUUGCCUUCUUCCAUAUAUAGCAUAUAGAAGCACACCAAAAGCUUCGCUGAUUAUGCCGAUCAGUGUCGAAAUUUCGUGUUUCUUCUUGAUUUCUAUCCGUUAUGGAUUCAUUACCUUUAUGUUUCAUCGACCGCCUUCUCAAUUCCAUGNAUUUGGAUUUCCACAUAAA